rnacentral:lncRNA from 1 species
UCAAAAAGAUAUAGCAUAUAUAGGUUUGAGGACUAGCUGCAGUUUCAGGCACCCACUGGGGGUCUUACCUUCCUUCACAGGUAAAGGAGAAUUACCGUAUUAGUUGGAGGCAGGAAAGGGUGAGAAUUUGUCUUGAAGAAAAAUCAAGACUCAGAACAGAU